rnacentral:misc_RNA from 1 species
UCCUGGUUAACCCAGGCAGUCUCGUUAGAGUUCCCAGCUUCACCUGUUGGCAACUAACGAUAAGGGUUGCGCUCGUUGCGGGACUUAACCCAACACCUCACGGCACGAGCUGACGACAGCCAUGCAGCACCUGUGUAAAGGCCCCUAAGGGCGUUAUCAUUUCUGUUAACUUCCUCUACAUGUCAAGUCUGGGUAAGGUUCUUCGCGUUGCAUCGAAUUAAACCACAUGCUCCACUGCUUGUGCGGGUCCCCGUCAAUUCUUUUGAGUUUCACCCUUGCGAGUGUACUCCCCAGGCGGUAUACUUAUCGCGUUCGCUACGGCACAACCGGGGUUGAGUCCAGUUACACCAAGUAUACAUCGUUUACGGCAAGGACUAC